rnacentral:lncRNA from 1 species
GAAUAAGGUAGUAAACGGCUACGGGAGUCACAAGGUAGGUGUAUUCUUAUCUCUAUUGAUCGGAAAAUUGGUUGAUCAUCCUUACUAUUAUUCUUGAAUUUCCAAUCGAUGGAUAAUCUUUAAUCGCUUCUAUUUUUCAAUAUCACCAAUUGGUUCGAUCAUCAUACUUUCUCUCAGAUCAUGUCGUAAUUCGUUAUUCUUAUAUUUCACCUCACUAAGUCUCCUAUGACUUAUCCCUCUAUUUUAUUCUGUCAUAUUCUCAGACGGAGGUGGAGGCUCGAAUGAAUCAAGGGAAUUCCCGUCCGAGUAACUACCUUGUUUAUAUUUGUAAAAUAGCGGUUCGAUUAAGUUAAGAAUAAUCGCCGUCUUGUAUUAUAAAUAUCAGCGUUUGAGCUUAUUUAUGUUAUAGUAUUGUAAUCUCAUAAGCUAGGAGCUGCUGUUAUAAAUGUUCGGAACCGUUGUACUUUACCUUGCUAGACGUGAGGUUGUUAAUAAAUAAAUCGUACGUAUUUUUGUGAACUAUAGUUUGAUUAGUAUUAUUCAAAAAAAAAAAUAGACCAGGUAAUUUCAUAGAGUAAUUUGACUAACGCUUCAUAGAAGGCGGGCGUCACAGGUGGUAUCAGAGCUUAGGGUUUAGGCUCUUCCCCAAAUUACGAAUUUAGCAAAUCUAGAUGCCUUUUGGAGAAUGCGUUCGACGUAGAUCCCGACUUAUUCCCUCUUUUAGUGAUUAAUAAUGAACCUACAUGCGCUAUCACAUAUGUUGAAUCUGAUUACGAUUGAGUUAGGCUACGUAGUCUUCUCAUAAGUCGUCACAAUGUUUGCUACAGUAGUCGACUGUUUUAUCUAGCAUAUGCAUUUAUGAUGUUCUCUCUAUGCGUAGUAAGAAAGCCUGUCUAUCGUAGAUAUGUGAAUAGGGGCUUUUGAAGCACAUGGUUAUAGUCACGUGCCUCGAUAUAUGCUAUUUAUUCGAUGUAAGGUAGGUAUUAAGAGCUGAUAUAUAGUAACCUCAUUAACUCUUGUAAGUCCAACUCGCAUUCGAGUAUAUAUGAUUACUAUCAUUUAGUAAAGAUCCCUUUUCUAGGUUAUUCUAUAUAUUUUUCGUGUUCGUAGAUAUACUCCUAUACUCGAUUAAUCCGAGUUAGGUUCGCACAUAAUUGAUAUCAUGUCAAUUGACACUAACUGUAUAACCUGACCUUGUAUAACCUGACCCAGAAUGUCUUUUCUCGGGAAACUUCCCGAGAGCCUAACUCAAGCAUGUUCAUUUACACUAUCUCCGAAUCGUCACGAAAGUUCAUCUCAUAUCCUCGAAGACGAUGAAACCAUGAUGGAACCAAAUAAUACUAAGACUCACGAAGCGAUCGAAGCGCCACAAGUUCCUCGAGAGGCAACAACGCCAGAAGUACAAUCAAUGCUAACUAUGUGGCAACAAUUUAUGCAAUUCUGUCAACAACCACCACAGACGGGCGUGCCAAUGGCCGAACAUGCGAUGCCUACGGAGGACCAAAGGUUUGAGAGAUUUCUUCGAUUUCGACCACCGAAAUUCAUAGGCGAGCCCGAUUAUCGCAAAGCAGAAAAUUGGCUUAAUGAGCUGGAAAUUAUUUUUGAAGUUACUAACUAUUCUGACUCUCAAAAGGUUAGUUAUGCCGCUUUCCAGCUAGAAGAAACUGCAUGUCAUUGGUGGCGUGUAGUGAAUCAGAAGUGGGCUCAAAACAACACUGCUCGAACUUGGGCUAACUUGGUCCAAGAAUUCAAUGAGAAGUUCAUACCACAAGUGGUGAAAAAUGCUAAAGAUAGGGACUUUAUGAAUCUUAUUCAAGGCACAAUGACGGUGGCACAGUACGAAGCUCGUUUCAAUUAUCUAAUUCGCUAUGCUCCACACUAUAUGAACGAUGAAACUCGCAAAGUACGCAAAUUCAUUGAAGGAUUAAAAUUAGAACUUCGUUGGGCUAUAAUUUCUUCGGAUGCAACAAAUUAUAGCGCGACGAUUAAUAAGGCGAUGCAGAUCGAGUCGGAAAUGCGAGAGUUUACCCACUUUGAAGAGCGAGUGAAGAGAACUAAAUUUACAAACUUGAGAGGAAAUUCGAAUCCAAAUCCCUUUUGGGAACCGAAAUAUCCACGAAUGGAUCAAGAACAUUUUACAAAUCGUAACCCACUGUCAAAUCAUCAGAGUGGCGCUCCCCCUCAUCCAGUGAUGCAGAGGAAGUGUGGAUUUUGCGGACUCUCCAAUCAUGAAGAAAAUGAUUGUCGAAGGAAAAAAUGAUUGUGUUCUUUGUGGAAGUGCUGAUCAUAUCGCACGUGAUUGUCGUAGGAGACAAGAAUCUCUUCAUAUUCCACAAGGACAAAAAGGAAAGGCUCCAAUGGAGUAGCAAAGCAAGGCCGAAAUUCCUGCCCGCGCUUAUGCACUUGCUGGGGUGGACGAAACUAAAAUCGGUGAAUAAGGUAGUAAACGGCUACGGUAGUCACAAGGUAGGUGUAUUCUUAUCUCUAUUGAUCGGAAAAUUGGUUGAUCAUCCUUACUAUUAUUCUUGAAUUUCCAAUCGAUGGAUAAUCUUUAAUCGCUUCUAUUUUCCGAUAUCGCCAAUUGGUUCGAUCAUCAUACUUUCUCUCAGAUCAUGUCGUAAUUCGUUAUUCUUAUAUUUCACCUCACUAAGUCUCCUAUGACUUAUCCCUCUAUUUUAUUUUGUCAUAUUCUCAGACGCAGGUGCAUGCUCGAAUGUGCAUUCGCAAAAAAGGAUCAUGAAAACACAAACUACAAUCAUAGGACAUUAAUUCUAAUCAACAAACAUGCACAAACACACUCGCUCAAAUGGAGAGGCACAAACGUACGUGUAUAAAAACAUGCGCAAAAGUGCAUUCGCAACAACGUUCUUAAAAACACGAACUACAACACUAGGACUUUAAUACGCAUCAACAAACAACAGCAAAAACACUAGAUAAAAAAGAUACAGUGGAGUGUAGAAAAGUGACGGAAAUUGAUUUCUAUUUGGUUUCCACUACUUCCUUAUCAAGAAAAGCCUAUAAAAGCAACAAGUCUCUACACCAUAAGCACGAAAAUUGACACCACAAAAAGCGAGGAACGAAGAUCAACGAAGACUCAAGUAUAGUUUUUCUUAUUUAAUUUAUUAAUUUUAUUUUCUUUCUUGACAGCAUGGUUGUGGUUUUACCCAUAUCUCCUUGGGAAACCUUAUGCAUUUGCUUAAGUUCUUCCUAGUUGGUUCAAGAUCGAACUUUGGAGUUUGUCUAUUAUAGCUCAAACUGUUCGGUAAUUUGUCUGGUUUAUUUUUUUCAGCGAAUGUAUAUAUAUAUAUAUAUAUAUAUAUCCGUCGAUGAUUCAAAAAUUUUGAUUUUGUUAAUGAAAAAAUUCAUUUCGAUUUUCAAAAUGUCGACUAAUUUAUACUAUUACUUCUUCACGCUUCUAAUAACAUAUCUUCACAAAUUUUAAUAGUAAGUAUCAAGUGACAAGACAUUGGGGAUAGUUACCCGGGCGCAUAGAAAUAAUUAAGCCAAAAGUCGAGCAAUUAGCCAAUGAAGAAAACGGUGAAUAAGGUAGUAAACGACUACGGUAGUCACAAGGUAGGUGUAUUCUUAUCUCUGUUGAUCGGAAAAUUGGUUGAUCAUCCUUACUAUUAUUCUUGAAUUUCCAAUCGAUGGAUAAUCUUUAAUCGCUUCUAUUUUCCGAUAUCGCCAAUUGGUUCGAUCAUCAUACUUUCUCUCAUAUCAUGUCGUAAUUCGUUAUUCUUAUAUUUCACCUCACUAAGUCUCCUAUGACUUAUCCCUCUAUUUUAUUUUGUCAUAUUCUCAGACGCAGGUGCAUGCUCGAAUGAAUCAAGAGAAUUCCCGUCCGAGUAACUACCUCGUUUAUAUUUGUAAAAUAGUGGUUCGAUUAAGUUAAGAAUAAUCGCCGUCUUGUAUUAUAAAUAUCAGCGUUUGAGCUUAUUUAUGUUAU